AGAGUUUGAUCCUGGCUCAGAUUGAACGCUGGCGGCAUGCCUUACACAUGCAAGUCGAACGGCAGCACGGAGCUUGCUCUGGUGGCGAGUGGCGAACGGGUGAGUAAUAUAUCGGAACGUACCCUAGAGUGGGGGAUAACGUAGCGAAAGUUACGCUAAUACCGCAUACGAUCUAAGGAUGAAAGUGGGGGAUCGCAAGACCUCAUGCUCGUGGAGCGGCCGAUAUCUGAUUAGCUAGUUGGUAGGGUAAAAGCCCACCAAGGCAUCGAUCAGUAGCUGGUCUGAGAGGACGACCAGCCACACUGGAACUGAGACACGGUCCAGACUCCUACGGGAGGCAGCAGUGGGGAAUUUUGGACAAUGGGCGAAAGCCUGAUCCAGCAAUGCCGCGUGAGUGAAGAAGGCCUUCGGGUUGUAAAGCUCUUUUGUCAGGGAAGAAACGGUGAGAGCUAAUAUCUCUUGCUAAUGACGGUACCUGAAGAAUAAGCACCGGCUAACUACGUGCCGGCAGCCGCGGUAAUACGUAGGGUGCAAGCGUUAAUCGGAAUUACUGGGCGUAAAGCGUGCGCAGGCGGUUUUGUAAGUCUGAUGUGAAAUCCCCGGGCUCAACCUGGGAAUUGCAUUGGAGACUGCAAGGCUAGAAUCUGGCAGAGGGGGGUAGAAUUCCACGUGUAGCAGUGAAAUGCGUAGAUAUGUGGAGGAACACCGAUGGCGAAGCAGCCCCCUGGGUCAAGAUUGACGCUCAUGCACGAAAGCGUGGGGAGCAAACAGGAUUAGAUACCCUGCUAGUCC
rnacentral:rRNA from 1 species